UUCGUCCACGUGAAGAGAAUUCUAUUAGCAUUGUCGAAACCGUUUGAUCCGGUUAUGCCUUCAUAUCUUUGAAAACAUUUCCGCCAAUUCCACCAAGUGAAAAUCACAAUAUCGUUAGUCGGUAUUGUCUUUAGGUUUACUAGCGGGGGCGUUUUUGUUUUGAGGAAAAAAGAAUAUUCUCUGGUUUCCAUCUACCUUAAGUGCCGAUUAGGCAGAUAAGCUAGAUUAAGUGAAAUGGGAAACGGGAUUCAUUUUCCAUUGACAACACUUUUAAACAUUAUUUGAUAAUUCGCAUGCAACCCUUCAAAGUCGAUUCGACAUUUUAAGGUUUACUUCACGGACAUUGAAAUCAUUGUGAAGCUUUGUAGACUGUUGUCUCUCUCGGAAGUACCCAAAAAAAAAAAAAAAAUCCUUUUUACACUCAUAACGUUCUAGCUGUUUCAUCCCUUUAAAAAAUAUCAUGUUUUUUUUUUGGUGCUCGGAACAUUUACUUUCUCCACUUGGUUCGUCUAUUUUUGAAGUUAAACUAACUAUUUGACCAUUUUCGUACUUAAUGUCAUGAACUCCUCUCGUGGAUUGUUAAGUCAAUUAUCAAAACCAACCACCAACUCAAUUUUAACCGUUGUAACCUGACCCAUUAUUAACACUAGUAUUCAUGCUGUACUUGCGGCAAUUCCCCCAUCAAAAAGUUUUCAGAGUUGUCUUUUGAUACCGAUUAUGUGUCGUGGUGGAGGCUUACACCCCAAGGAUCGGAACGGGAUCUUCUCAAUUUGAUUUUAAUGCUCUGCAUGGACAAGCCUAAGGGAAAAGAGUCAUGCAACAAGUAGAGAAAUUUAUUUCAACAUUGUUGUGUUGGCGGUUUCUGUUUGCUAAUCCUCAGCAACGAUCAUAUGCAGUUGAGAUCUCGACCAACUUUUCGUUAAAUAAUGUCAAAAUUUGCAACAAAUGUUUUAUCACGGUACUCGAAGAAUGUGAACUUAAUGAAGUUUCUCAUUUGGUUGCCAAAUUGUGGUCACACAUCAAUUUUGUCGAAAUAACCAUUCCGAUCCUGAUUUCGUUCCAUUUUUACUACUUUUUUAAAUUUGGGAUUAAGUUGAAUUGGUCUGUCUUCCUACAUCUUGUUCCAUACCCGUUCCAAACUUUGACAUAAUUGGAUGAAGCUGUCUUGUUUUAGAUAGAAUAAUACCUUGGAGCGUAAUUGCUUUUCCUCUUC